CAGCAUCCGAAGACGAUUCGCUGGACGUGUCCCCGGGCCCCCGCACGGCGCUGUGAGCCGCGGGGUCGUUCGGCUGCCUGCGCACGAAAGCCCCAUAUUGCCCCUGCCUGCCGGUAGCCGCUUUCCCGUAAUUUCCAUUAUCCGAAGCACAUCGCGUGUUCUCGCUGCAGCCACUCCGGGUUCUGGAGAGAGGCUCAUGAGACGUCCAAAUAAGCCCCGGUUAUGGAAUUGGAAACCAUCAUUUCCGUAGGCGUACAGGUACAUAUAUGAAGCCAGCGACGAUUCGAAGCCCAGCAGGAGAAAAACAACGUGCAAAGGCACGAUGGAUAACGCAAAGGAUCGCCGACCUACCGCGGGAGGCCGCCUACAAUUUUAGCCUCUGUCACCACGAGGAUAUACGAGACGAUCUCCUAAACGCUUUCGAUGAGCGCAUGACCUUCAGCGAGGGGCCGUUGCUCGAUUUUCACACCUGCGAGGACGCGUCCGCGGGCCCGCAGCUGUCCGAGGUUCGCCCGGGUGAACGCGGCCCCCGACGGCUACGUGGCAUCCCCAGUCCGUGCGGAGCCGAAAGAUAAAAAUUAAGACACAGAGGGGAGGAGGAGACGGAGGGGUGGGAAGAAAGAUACAGUGCGGAGAAGGGGCAAGGAAGGGGGGAGAGGGAAAAGGAGGGAUAAAAGGGGAGCAGAAAGGAAAGAGAGGGGGGAAAACGGGGUGAGGGAGGCAGGGAGGGGAGGGGGGACGUGAGGAGAAAGAGAAGGGAGGGAUUAAAGUGGGAGAAGAAGGCAGCGGGGAAGGAAGCGAGGAGAGGGAGAGGUGGAGAAGGGGCAAAGAAG
ensembl:lncRNA